UACGUAGGUGGCAAGCGUUGUUCGAAAUUAUUGGGCGUAAAGGGCGCGUAGGCGGCGUGUUAAGUCAACCGUGAAAGCCCGGGGCUCAACCCCGGAGGGUCGGUCGAUACUGGCAGGCUAGAGUACGGAAGAGGUAGCUGGAAUUCCCGGUGUAGCGGUGAAAUGCGUAGAUAUCUGGAGGAACACCGGUGGCGAAGGCGACAUCCUGGACCGGUAUUGACGCUGAGUGAGCGAAAGCCAGGGGAGCAAACGGG
rnacentral:rRNA from 1 species